rnacentral:rRNA from 1 species
AGCAGCCCCGCGAGGGUGAGCAAACCACAGAAACGGCGUCCCAGUUCGGAUUGCAGCCUGCAACUCGGCUGCAUGAAGCUGGAAUCGCUAGUAAUCGCGGAUCAGAAUGCCGCGGUGAAUACGUUCCCGGGUCUUGUACACACCGCCCGUCACACCAUGGGAGUCGGGAAUGCCCGAAGUCAGUGACCCAACCGAAAGGGGGGAGCUGCCGAAGGCAGGCCUGGUAACUGGGGUGAAGUCGUAACAAGGUACC